UGUGAGGGUGGUGGACGGCAGGG
rnacentral:miRNA from 1 species